rnacentral:rRNA from 1 species
UACGAAGGGGGCUAGCGUUGCUCGGAAUCACUGGGCGUAAAGGGUGCGUAGGCGGGUCUUUAAGUCAGGGGUGAAAUCCCGGGGCUCAACCUCGGAAUUGCCUUUGAUACUGUCUGUCUUGAGUUCGGGAGAGGUUGGCGGAAUUCCUAGUGUAGAGGUGAAAUUCGUAGAUAUUAGGAAGAACACCAGUGGCGAAGGCGGCCAACUGGCCCGAUACUGACGCUCAUGUGCGAAAGCGUGGGGAGCAAACAGG